UCCGGUUUGACACCGGCAGUCUGUUUAGAAAAAUCCAACUAAACAUAAGGGUUGCGCUCGUUACGGGACUUAACCCAACAUCUCACGACACGAGCUGACGACAGCCAUGCAGCACCUGUGUUCCGAUUCCCUUUCGGGCACACCCGCCUCUCAGCGGGCUUCCGGACAUGUCAAGGGUAGGUAAGGUUGUUCGCGUUGCAUCGAAUUAAUCCACAUCAUCCACCGCUUGUGCGGGUCCCCGUCAAUUCCUUUGAGUUUUAACCUUGCGGCCGUACCCCCCAGGCGGUCAACUUCACGCGUUAGCUACGGUACUGAGAAAUCGCUUCCCCAACACCCAGUUGACAUCGUUUAGGGCGUGGACUAC
rnacentral:misc_RNA from 1 species